CAUUGUUCAUAUUAACCAUUUAUAUUUUGCAGAUAAUUUAGAUUAUUGAGAAAACAGAAUUAGAUUUCUCCCAAGAUCUUCUUCACACUGCACAACAAAGAAGAAAAGCAUAUAACUAAGAAUAGAUGAAGGCACCAACGGGAAUCAGCAUAGUCCAAGGCUUGCCGGAGCUGUCCAGCCAUUUAUACAGAGGAAGUAUGAACCGAAUAGGUGGGAAAGGGGGGAAAUAGGUUGAGAGAGGAGAGAGAUAGAGAGAGUUGAUAGGGGCAAAAGAGAGAGAGUACUUUCCUAGAGAGUAGUAAUAUUUUUUAUCCUUAUGUGCACUGAGUAGGAAUUUAUUGGGAAUGUAUCCCCUAAUAUGAGUUUGUUGUUUCAAAGUUAUUCAUUCUUAUCAAAUUUUCUGGCAUGUAUUUGAGUUUGUUAUUUUUAUUAGGAAUUUACGUAUGUACUUGGUUGUCUAAAAGCCUCAUAAUUAGUCUGGUUGGAGUAGAUUUAACAAAGCCUUGAGU